AAGAAAGUGACAGAGUGGUGAUGUGGCUGGUUUGAAACCAGCAUAUGGGGGUUCAAUUCCUUCCUUUCUUG
rnacentral:tRNA from 1 species